rnacentral:tRNA from 1 species
AGGAGAGUAGCCAAGCGGCAAGGCAGCGGACUUUGAAUCCGCCACCGAUGGUUCGAAUCCAUCCUCUUCUGCCA